CGUUUUUAUGUUCACCAUGUUAUUCGUCACAGUAUUUUGAAUUUAUUAGUUUUUGAAUAAUAGUUUGUGUACAUCGAAUAGGUUCCAGAACUACUGAGCCGAUUGAAGUUAUUCUUUCACUGUUGGGUUAGAUCAGUGGUGUUCGUAAGGUACGUAGGAUGCGUUCAAGCGAGAACGCGAGGAAGGAGAUGUUGCCCUUUGAGGUGAUUGUCACGACAGUGUACUGCAACUGUAAAGCCUGCGUCAAGUAUUGCUGCGACAAGGAGCCAGUCAAGUGCAUCGAUCCGCGUCUCAUGCACAUGUGGAAUACCUGCUGGAUCACCCACGGUCUUAAGACCACCUACAAAACUAAUAGGCCAAAAAGACUCAAAAACAACCUGAAUCAAAACAAAUCAAAACGUUUUAAACCUGAGCAACAACAAGAGAAGUGCAAUCAAUCCAAUGGAAAUUGAUAUGGCCUUGGUGUGUGCUGUUGUGCCGAAAAGAGAAGACCCACACACUGCAGACUAAACAGUCCACCAUUUGUUUUCCUAGAAUAUAUGGAUUCCAAUGAAGGUGCGUGAACUACAAUUCAUUUUCAUACUUAUUUAUGAUCACGAACUAUAAAAGUUUGCAGAGUAAAAGAGUGCAGUACGGUAACAACGGGCUCCAAUCAUUAGUUUUAUAUUGCUAUGUAUUUUGUGUUUUUGUUUUUACAAAUUUUAUAUUUUUUUACGCAAACUAGGUAUGAUAAAAGCGCUCGCUAAGCAGUAUUUAUCGCAGUUUUGUUAGUUCUAAGGUAUAUUUUUUGGUUUAUUAACGUUGUUUACAGUUUUUAUGUGAGCGAGUAGGUUUUAGUUUCUUUUAUUAAGUAACUAUAUUUAUAUUUUUGCGAGCUGUUAGUAAAAUUGUAACUAUAGGUAUAUUGUUAUUGUUGAUACUUUUUAUUGAUUUGCAUGCAAGUAAUGUAAAUAAAAAAAGUAAUGUAAAUACAAAACUUUAUUCGUGUUAAAAAAAUAUUUUUUUUUUUUAUGAGCACUAAGAUGUUUCUACAAUUUGAGGUUAAAGGUAAAGCAAAGAGUUAAGGUAAGAUAUGUCAAACUACAUAGUAUCUCAGAUUUCCCGCCUUUAAUGUAAACUUUCGAAGGGCUGAUCAAUGAUCUCAGUCACAAACAUGUAAGUUAUUGUUAAGUAAUGUUAUGUUUAUUGAAACCGCUAAGUUUGUCGUGUAACUGGUAGCAGUUUUACCUGUCCCUAAGACUGAUUAGUUAAUUUUAACUAAUGUUAAUUAGUUUAUACUAACGAAAAUAAUCCGUCAAUGUCCCUUUAUGAAUAUUUUGUAUGUUGUUUACACCACUAAUGUACUAAAGGGUUAGUUAAGUAUUUACUCUGUCUACUGAUACAAGACAUUUAAUAAUGUCCGUCUGAUGUACCUGCAAUUUUCAUGCAAAUAGAACAAAUUUAUUCAUAUACAUAUCUACACAGUACUCAUUAAGAUUUAACUAUAACUGUCUCACUAUAACAUAUGUCUUAAGAAAUGAAACUUGGUUCUCUCAUAUAUGACAUAUCUGAUUUUAAACUGAGACUUUUAAAAUUUUAAUAGAUUAUGAUAUCACAGAUGACUUUCGGUACUCAAUAAUGUAAAAAGUAAUACUAACAUUCUGUUGAAUAGUUUUUGUUCGUUUUUUUUAAAUCCAAAUCAAAUGGAUCCAAAUUUAGAACGAAUUAUUAUAAAAAUCUGUAAACCUUAAUUUAAGCAAAAGUUUGAAAUGUUUAGUCACAUUAUAUUUUUGUGUAACUAUUUUUAAAACAUUAUAUAUAUGUAAAUGAACAUAACAUUUUGUCGUUGAUGUUAUCUGUUUCAGCUGUGUACUGAAUAAACUGUUGUUACUGCAUGGCCCUUGAUGUGGCAAAAAGA
rnacentral:lncRNA from 1 species